AUCACUGUACAGUGAUCAAGAGGAGGCAGACACAAGGAUGGUGCUCUAUGCCAUACAUCUUGCAGAGUCAUAUUCCCGCAUCAUUGUGAGGUCUGAUGACACAGAUGUGGAAGUACUGCUCAUAUAUUAUGCAAGCAAAUACAUGUUUGGUUCAUCUCUAGUGUACAUGCAUGCAGG